GCGCAAGGGAGCAUUCUCCCCUGAGCGCUCUCUGCCCAGCUCCCUCGCUUGCACCGUACUGAUGCCGGAGCCAGAAUAUGACAUAAUUCCGGCUCCAGCAUCAGUAAGCGGUUAGCGAGGGAGCUGGGCAGAGCGCACUUAGGGGAGAAUGCUCCCUCGCCGCC